rnacentral:rRNA from 1 species
UAAUACGUAGGGGGCGAGCGUUGUCCGGAAUUACUGGGCGUAAAGGGCGCGUAGGCGGCUUUUCAAGUCGGGCGUGAAAUCUCCGGGCUUAACCCGGAAGGGUCGUUCGAUACUGUUGAGCUAGAGUGUGGAAGAGGCAACUAGAAUUCCGUGUGUAGCGGUGAAAUGCGUAGAUAUACGGAGGAAUACCUGAGGCGAAGGCGGGUUGCUGGGCCAACACUGACGCUGAGGCGCGAAAGCCAGGGGAGCAAACGG